GCCGGGCAUGGUGGCGGGUGUCUGUAAUCCCAGCUACUCAGGAGGCGGAGGCAGGAGGAUUGCUUGCACCCAGGAGACGGGAGUUGCAGUGAGCUGAGAUCCUGCCACUGCACUCCAGCAUGGGUGACAGAGUGAGACUCUGUCUCAA
rnacentral:SRP_RNA from 1 species